CAUUGAUGGACCUAUUCUCCAUGAACUUACCUAGUUCUUUUUUGAACCCUGUUACAGUUUUCUAUCAUAAGCUCACUUAAAAAUUCCAUGCUAACUUACUGAAAAAGUUUAGUCAGAAACUUAUGUCUUACUUUUCCUUUAGACCAGAGGAAGAGUUCUGGUCCAUUUUAGAUCAUCACCCAAGUGGUUUGAGUUAGUUAUAGAACCUUGGAAAGAAUUGUGAUGUUUUUAAUAUUAAGUCUUCUAAAGAGUUUUGUAAAAGGAUGUCCCAGACAGCAUGGUCUAAAACUUUAAAUAUCCAUUAAUUCUCAGUGAGAAGCAGUGCAUAGGACCAACUGUCUGUUGGGUUUUAACAGCACUUUACAUGUAAUGUAAGUACUAUUGUAAACAUUGAGUGCAAAACUUCGAAGUUAUUAGAUAAAAAAGUAGGAACGUCUGCAGAGCUUCAUGAAAGUCUCCCUAAACAACAUCUGCUCUGGAAGAGAUGUAGUGAAAGUUGUAAGAAAUUUAAGUGUUUGUAGAGAGGAUUACACUGUGAGAGAAAUAUCACCUUACUUUCAUGCCCUAGCUAUUUUAAGAUUUUCUACUUACACAUUUAAACAAAAACCUCUUUUUAGUUCUGAAUAAUUUCUCUCUUGGAAAGGAAAAACUUCUAAAUUCACUUUUCAUUUCUUGGAACUUUGAACUUUUUAAACAUACUAAUGCAGACAUUAUUGUUUUAGAAAUUCAAAAUGUGCAUUAUUCAUCUCUUGUCAAAUCCUAGUGCAUAGAACUAUUUGUUUUUAAGUUUGAGUUUCUACCUUUAGAGAUGCUUGGUAAGAACUUGAAGUUGCAUAUGGUCUCUGCACAGUUGAUAACGUUCCUUAGGUCUUGCAGAGCUUAAAAGCAGUUAAAUAGUUCUUAUUCCAAGGUACUUACAAAUGGCUGCAGUCUUAAAUUUUAUAUAGUAUGUAUACUGCAAAAUUAUACAAAGGCAUAGGAGGUGGAUUUUUUUUUUUAAAUGCUUAACGUUUGAACAACUUUUGGUAUCACAUAGACAUAACAUAAUGUUUAAAACUUACUUUAAGUCACAUUAUUUAAUCACUGCUUCCUAGGGCUCAACUUUUCAUAAUUGUGCUCAUGCAUAGUUUGCACAAAUUGGAAGCAUUAUGGAAAUUAGAUACAGAUGACCAAUUUAGCAUCUAAUAGAUUCCAUGUUCCAGUAUUAAAGGGACCAGCACAUCACAUGCUGGCACAUCUCGUGUAAGCAGGAAGUUUGGUAUCACAGGGCAACCACUUUGUGCAACUAGAAACAUCCACAAAGGAAGGAGGCCCCAAGAAGUACUUAAAAUGGUAACUUAAAUAUGUCACUUUGUCUGCUUAGUCAUGCCUCACCUAUACUUAAAAAUCUAGUACUGACACCUGCUCUAAUCCAAUGAAUACAUAGUUGAAUCUUGGUUCUUUUAACCUCAGCAUAGUGCCUUUUGCUGUGUGUGUGUUUAAGUGAAUUCUUUAUGUUCACAGGGUUUUUUUUCUUUUUCAAGCCAAGUAGUUUUUAACUGUACUUUUUUGGGAGUUGGUAGUUGUUACAAUAGUAAUUCUGACUCUUUCAAACUAUCUUACAAAUCUUGUUUGUCCUCCCGUUUUGUUACGGUAAAAGCUUUUGCUGAUGUCCAUGUUCUAAUAUGCGUCUCAUUACAUUGGAAACUAUUCAGCAGCUGUUCCCUGGGUCAGAGGGCCGUGUGGACACACACCUGUAGGUUUUGCAAGUGAUGGUAGCAGCCCCGAUGAAGAUGAUGGAAUCCAAUAGACAAAGCCUGUUUUAAUCAGAUGCUUUACACUUAACUAGAAAAUCCACUUAAUGUAGGAAUGCCUAGGCCACCUGUUUAUUCCCAGACAUGUGUAAUAGGGACUGUAAUUAUGUCCUCUUGGGAUAAAAGUUACAGGUGAAUAUCCAGUGGUUUUCUCUCUUCUGCUAUGGAGCUCCUCAUUGCCAGAGUGUGGUUCCUGUGAAUCUUUGUGACAUCUGUACUACGAAGAGUAGAAGAUGCAGAAGAAACUCCCAAGAUACAGAAUCCAAUUACCAUGUAUCUGUACUUGAUAUCUUUUUAAAACUGUGAAUGGGAUCGUUCUGCCAAGUUUUCUAGGAGAUUUCGAUAUAUCUGAUUGUCUGUUCAGAAACUGUAAUAUACGUAGUGAGUACUUUGAGCUGUCUACUACAGUGCAUAUAAGAGGAACAGGGUUGACCCUACAAAGGCUUCCAAUUUAGCAAAUAAUCAGGUUUGGAUGUACUACACUACCCUAUCUGUAUAUCUGUGGAAAAAACUAAGAGAACUAAAGAAGGCAGAUCUUUAAAAACAAGAUCUUUAUACCCACUUGCUGAUCCUAAAACAAAUUUCAGGUUUGAGAAAUGAAUUUAGUAAUUGAUAACAGUAAAAUGUUUAGAAAAUCUCAUUUUAAAUAUGGUAUUUUAAAAACUACUACUGCUCAUGGUAACUUUACUAAUAAAAUAUUUUAGGACGCUAGCAGAAUGGGGAUUAUAGGAGUUUAUACUAAUCAAUAACUGGCUUUAACAAUCGAGCUGAAAGCUCUAAGCAACUUUUACGAAAUAGUCUUUAAAAUCUGUAUUAAAGCAGAUUUGCAAUUUGCCAUAGAAUUCCAGUUUUUGUAAGAUGUCUGUCGCCAGAAAUAGAUUUGGAAUGCCAAUUAUAAUUGGAUUUAAUACACUACAGGUUUGAUUAAUAAUGAGAAAUGCUUCACUGUGUAAACAUUCAGUCUGAUGGUCUGAGCAAAGGGUGGAAUGUGAAAGAUCAAAAGAAACUGUAACAAGUAGCAUUAACAAGCAAAAACUAAAAUGUUGUUUUACCCCAGAGUAGCUCACACUGUAUUGCUCAAUUUGAUAGCAUUUGUACUGAGCAUAAACUGCUCUAGUUGAGAGUUAAACUUGUGUACCUGAAAUUUAUCCUCAACUCUGCUUUGAAGCGGAAACUCUGCUUCCGGUUCCACGGAAUAGCAUACACAGCAGUGCUUAGACCUGAUGGCAUGUCUUGUGUUGCAUAACUAUCUCAUAGCUUGAUUAGUUUUUGAGGGAGUCAUGUCAUUGUGUGCCAAAAGGAUCAUAGUUGGCUAUUGCAGGGCCUUUGAAGUGAGUCAGUCAUUAGGACGCUUGUGAAUGACAUCUUGAGAUGGGCUGGGCUGCAUUAUCACUAAAGUGAACUUUUUAAAAUGUUCACAUAAGUUACUUGGUAUCACAAUUGCUCUAACUAAAAGUAUAUAAUUUGAUGGGCUGUUGGGUGGAGUGGGAUGUCUUAUUCAGUUUUGGUCCAUACAUGUGGUAUCCAUAAAUACAACAAGCAAGUAAGAUUUCUAGCACAUGCAUACAUAGUACAUUUUUCUAAAGCUAUUUAAAACUUGAAGUUGCUUGUUAUCACUUUCCUAUUCCAUUCCUAGUUAGUCUUGUAUUCAUCCUUCUAGCCUAGGUUGCACUGGACAACUAGAAAAGUAGAUGACUAGUCUAGUGGGUUUAAAAAAAAAAUUCUUAGAUCUUAUUCUUUAGCUGUUUAAAGAGCUGAUUGCUUAGUGGAUCUGAGUAGACUGCUCAGUAGAAAUAGCUACAGGAAAAACAGCAAGUUUUCAAAGCUUCCUGUUAUACAAUAAGUAUUAAAAUAGUCUUGAUGAAGACUUCAUUAGUGUUUGCAGAAUUCUGGGUGGUCAUAAUUUAUGUGUAAUAAAACAGCAGCGAAGUACUGUGAACAAAAGCCAGCAUUAUUUCAAAAUAUGAACCCCCCACCCCUUCUUCUAGAUGAUAGAAAAGAUUUUGUUGCUAAAAUAUAAAACCUAAGAUUAUAUCAGUUUAUGAGAGAACAUUUAUUUUUUUAAGCUUGUUUACUUUGUGUAUUUGACAGCAUUUGUGAGUUGGCCAUUUCAUUGAUUUUUUUUUUUCACUCUGUGGGGUCUUUCACAUGGCUUCAGGAGGAAGAGUUUAAUUUUUAAAAAAAUUAAAUGCGAUUUGUAAACUACAAAAUGAUCAAGAGGCUAAUGGGGGAAGUGGGAGGUAGCAGGGUGUAGUUCCUGAAACUACUAACGCUCGAAUUUUGACAUGAUUUAAUGGAGUGCCCCUUUUUAAAAGAAAUUGUCAUGUGAACCAGAUCUGGCAACAGAAUCUAAAAUAGAACGCUACUUUUGGAUUUUGUUGUGAAGUCUAUUAGUCUAUGACUAAUUUCUUAGUAAAAUAUUUUCUAAAUUAAGGCAGGAGACUGUGCUUUCUGUCUGUGUUGUAUUUGAAUCAGCAGUGAAGUCCUAAAUAUCAGUGCCCCAACAGUGGUUUUCUGUGUAAUCCAUGUUGUUCAAAGAGCAUUCUAGGUAAAAUAUGGUACUAACAUAAUCUCAUACUGCUUUAAACAUCACAAAACGCUGCCACUUCGUGUUAUCCCUUCAGAUCCACUCCACUUCUCCUCAGUGUUCCAGUAGCUCAGAAGCUGCUGGGCUAUGAAUAAUUUUGAGAGGUGGGAAAUCCAUGUUCAAAUCACUUCCCUUCAGGUGGGGUGGAGGGAUUGAACCAAGGUGUCUUGUCCUGAGUGAGUACCAUAACCACUGGGCUAAAGAUUAUAAUGAAGGCUGUUGCCGCCUCCUCCUCACACAAAACAGCCUCCCGGAGCAUGGAAGUAGUGCUUUGAGAACACAUACAGGGUCUGUCCCCCACAGGCAAGUUGGCAGUGGAAUGGAACACCUACUUUCACAUGCUUUGGGGAUUGUGGUGGGGCUUAUGCAUUGUGUACGUACCCAGAGGCAGAAAUUUAGGGUCAUAGGGGACUUUUACAGUGAAAAUUUAGGCACCUAGGGAUUAUACGUGCCUUCAGGGUUACACUUAGCGGGGAUUUUGAGGAUCUCGGUGGUGCGUAACUCCCACUUCGGGUGCCAAAGUCCUUUGGACUUGUCGUGGCUGAACUACUUCUACUUCUACACUGCUUCUCUUUGAUUAAGACCACAAAGUCUAAAAUUUUACCUAGUUUUGAAAUCCUCUUUUUGUGCCACUGGAUUUAGGAAUGUCUAGAAUAUUUUGACAUUGUGGGUAGGGUUUGUUUUGUGUGUGGAGUAUAACUAAAGUGCUCGUUAUUGUGCAGAAUCAGCUGUACACAGCUUUGUUUGCCCUAAAUGUAGAAUGAGCUGUCUUUCAUCCCGUCUCUUGAAUGUUACAGCAAGGAUUGCAAAUUGGGGUGGGAUGGAGAGAUGGCAGUAGCUGCUGGAAAUGCUUUAUUAUGCUUCCUAAAGUUCUGAGGGAAUGACUUUAAUAGCCACAAUCUCAUGUUUGAAAUUUUAGAAUUAAAUGACAAAUAAGCUUGAAGAGCAACACACAUCCUGAAUUCUUUCUUCUCUACCCAUGUUUUUUCCAUAUUCUAUUUUAAAUUCAGUGUAUAUUUGAAGUCUGUAGCACUUUCUCUAAAGCCAGUGUAGGGUGAUAUUUUGAAUCAAGGUGUCUAUUGUAGUAGCAGGUGCUAAUGGUUACUUAAACUCAUUGGGAAAGGUAAACUUCAAAUCUGAGAAUUACUUUUAGUUUAACACUACACUGCCAUUUAGGUCACACAGUUCAGCUCAUACUUACUUACUUUGGGAGUACAGGCAUUGGAAAUUACCCUGUUUGAAGUUCAAUACUUGUAGUGUUUAGUCCCGGCUGCAGUAGUUUUGGAAUCAAGUAUCUCUCAAACCCUUAGGGCUAGAAACAAGUUACGCAACUGCAUUGAAAGGCUGGCAAUAUCUACUUUCCAGGGAUAGUUCAUUAGAUUCCAGAUCUUAAAAUCAAAUCAUUCUAAUUAUCCUUUUCCUCCUUGCAGUUCUGAGGUUAUGGAAAUCAGUGUUGUAUGCUAAUGGUUCUAAAACUACAGGGCACCAAGCUCAUUCCUGGAACUCCCAAUUCUUAAAGAUAGCGGGCUUUUUUGUCUUCCGGUAGUUUGUAAAAUAAGCUGCAUAAACCACAUUGAAAUCCAAGUGGAGCUGGGGGAAGCAAAACAGCAAGCAAAAUUACAUGAAUUUUUGUGGUCCAAUAUCUUGUGACCUGCUAGGGUUUACGAGCAUGUUGACUAGAUGGGCGCAAAUACUUGCAGGACCAUAUGUGGUUUCUAUGCUGUGAUCCUGGACUGCUACAGAAAAAAGGUAGGGGAAGCUAAUUCUCUGAAGUAAACUUAAGAGGGUAGAAGCUAGGUGUUGCAGAAUACAGUUGAAGACGCACAUUAACAAUUUUGCU